rnacentral:rRNA from 1 species
GUGAGGAAUAUUGGACAAUGGAUGGAAAUCUGAUCCAGCCAUGCCGCGUGCAGGAAGACGGCCCUAUGGGUUGUAAACUGCUUUUAUACGGGAGCAAUAAGGUCUAUGCAUAGAUUGAUGAGAGUACCGUAUGAAUAAGCAUCGGCUAACUCCGUGCCAGCAGCCGCGGUAAUACGGAGGAUGCGAGCGUUAUCCGGAUUUAUUGGGUUUAAAGGGUGCGUAGGCGGCUUUAUAAGUCAGCGGUGAAAUUUUGCAGCUUAACUGUAAAAGCGCCGUUGAUACUGUGAAGCUAGGAUUUGGUUGCUGUGGGCGGAAUGUGUGGUGUAGCGGUGAAAUGCAUAGAGAUCACACAGAAUAUCGAUUGCGAAGGCAGCUCACAAAGCCAAUAUUGACGCUGAGGCACGAAAGUGUGGGGAUCAAACAGGAUUAGAAACCCGGGUAGUCC